rnacentral:lncRNA from 1 species
AAUUAAACAAGAUGAAUUAGAUCUGCAGUAUGGAAAUUAGCGUUUUCUUAGCAGCAAAGGCUGUGAAUAGACAUAAGAAUGAACUCAAUUAAUAUGAAUACAAUUAAUACAAAAAUAACCAAACUAAAAAAAACUUACUAAAAAGCAAGAUAUGGCCCAGAGAAAACAAAGAGAACUUAAGAAACAAUAUAAAUAGAACAAACUUAUAAAAAACUAUUUACACUAUUGGAUUAAUGUGCAUUAACUAGCUGACUUAUUGUAGUAUCUGAGUAUGAUAUUAUUUUUUUUAGUAAUUUCGCAAGAUAAGUAAAAGCCAAAUAAAAUAACCAAACUCAAAACUUUACUAAAAAAACAAGAUAAUGAUCCAGAGAAAAAUAGAACUUCAUAAACAAUAUAAACAGAACAAACUAAAAAAAAGUUAUAAAAUGUUUACACCAUUAGACAUAUGUUAAUAUCAAUAUCAAUUGGACUCUUUUUCAGUUCUUCAAAGAACCAAACUCUGGACAGCUUUGUGCGGCGACUUCCACCGUGUUCAACCGAGCAAGCAGCUGAGUUCACCGACAGUAUUCUAAACAUGAUUGUCUCAGACAUGCGCCCGCUUUCCAUGGUGGAGGAUGAGGGAUUUCAGAAGAUGAUUUGUUGUCAAUGGUUUAGUGAAAACUGCAAAGAUCAUUACCAUAGCAAUUAAAAGA